rnacentral:rRNA from 1 species
CCUACGGGCGGCUGCAGUGGGGAAUAUUGGACAAUGGGGGGAACCCUGAUCCAGCCAUGCCGCGUGUGUGAAGAAGGCCCUCGGGUUGUAAAGCACUUUCAGUGAGGAAGAACGCCUGGUGGUUAAUACCCAUCAGGAAAGACAUCACUCACAGAAGAAGCACCGGCUAACUCCGUGCCAGCAGCCGCGGUAAUAUGGAGGGUGCGAGCGUUAAUCGGAAUUACUGGGCGUAAAGCGCGCGUAGGUGGCUUGAUAAGCCGGUUGUGAAAGCCCCGGGCUCAACCUGGGAACGGCAUCCGGAACUGUCAAGCUAGAGUGCAGGAGAGGAAGGUAGAAUUCCCGGUGUAGCGGUGAAAUGCGUAGAGAUCGGGAGGAAUACCAGUGGCGAAGGCGGCCUUCUGGACUGACACUGACACUGAGGUGCGAAAGCGUGGGUAGCAAACAGGAUUAGAUACCCUUGUAGUC